AAUCGAGUUCCAAUUCCAAAGUAGGGCAGAACUCUCUCAAGAUGCUAAUAUGACAACGUGUCAGCAGAAGACAUUGUCAAGGGUUAAAUCAAAUUGAAGGGAUGUUGUCACCAGCAUCAAGGCACAAUGUUGGUAAACUGAAGCCUAGGGCAAAUCCUUUCCAAGUGCUCGAUGACAACAUUUCCCCGAUCAGGAAGAAGGAAAAGGAGAGCAGGAAACUGAGCCAGUUGGGCUUGCAGGUUCAUGAGAAGGUGACAUAUGCAGGCCGUAUGAAGGCCAAGCAGGCUGAUCUCCGCAGGAAGCUGAGAGAGGGGCUGGAGGAAGAGGACACAGCCCAGCAAGGAGGGGAGGAGAGCAGGCUGGCCGAGCUACAAAACACCCCUGCCUGGAGGGCGGCCAUGAUCAAAGGUGGUGACGGACAGAAAGACAGACACAUUCACGGACACAAACACACCUACACACACCAUGUUGCUACACCAUAAUUGACAUACACUGAGUGUACAAACGAUUAGGAACACCUGCUCUUUCAAUGACGUAGACUGACCAGGUGAAAGCUGUGAUCCCUUAUUGAUGUCCCUUGUUAAAUCCACUUCCAUCAGUGUAGAUGAAGGGGAGGAGACAGGUUAAAGAAGGAUUUUUAAGCCUUGAGACAUGGAUUGUGUAUGUGUGCGAUUCAGAGGGUGAAUAGGCAAGACAAAAGUUUGAAGUGCCUUUGAACGGGUUUGUGUGUGUCAAGAACUGCAAUGCUGCUGGGUUUUUUCACGCUCAACAGUUUCAAAUCAAAUCACAUUUUAUUUGUCACAUAUACAUGGUUAGCAGAUGUUAAUGUGAGCGUAGCGAAAUGCUUGUGCUUCUAGUUCCGACAGUGCAGUAAUAUCUAACAAGUAAUCUAACAAUUCCCCAACAACUACCUAAUACACACAAAUCUAAAGGGGUGAAUGAGAAUAUGUACAUGUAAGUAUGUGGAUGAGCGAUGGCCGAGCGGCAUAGGCAAGGUGCAAUAAAUGGUGUAAAAUACAGUAUAUACAGUGGGGCAAAAAAGUAUUUAGUCAGCCACCAAUUGUGCAAGUUCUCCCACUUAAAAAGAUGAGAGGCCUGUAAUUUUCAUCUGUACAUGUGAAAUGAGAAAUGUAAGAUAUAUGAACAUUAUUAAAGUAACAUUAUUUAGAAUGGAA